CUAUGGAGCUUUAGACGCAAGGGCAGAUCAUGUCAAAUACACCCAGCUAAGGGCCCUGAACUAAAUGAAACCAGCCCUGAUGUCUUCGGUUGGGGCGACCAUGGGGAACACAAAACCCCCACGUGGAAAAGGAGUACACCCCUACAUUCCUCUCCUCCUACAAGCUAGAGCGACAGCUCUAAUCAGCAGAAUUUCUGACCAAACUGAUCCGGCAACGCCGAUCAACGAACCAAGUUACCCUAG
rnacentral:rRNA from 1 species